GACGAACGCUGGCGGCGUGCUUAACACAUGCAAGUCGAGCGGUAAGGCCCUUUCGGGGGUACGACGAGCGGCGAACGGGUGAGUAACACGUGGGUGACCUGCCCUCAGCUCUGGGAUAAGCCUGGGAAACUAGGGUCUAAUACUGGAUAUGACUCCACGGUGCAUGUCGUGGGGUGGAAAGCCUUGUGCGGCUGAGGAUGGGCCCGCGGCCUAUCAGCUUGUUGGUGGGGUGAUGGCCUACCAAGGCGACGACGGGUAGCCGGCCUGAGAGGGCGACCGGCCACACUGGGACUGAGACACGGCCCAGACUCCUACGGGAGGGCAGCAGUGGGGAAGUCUUGCGCAAUGGGCGAAAGCCUGACGCAGCGACGCCGCGUGAGGGU
rnacentral:rRNA from 1 species